AGAAAAACACACAGAUGGAAGAAAGAAAAAACAAGCAAACAGAAAAUAGUGAAGCCAAAUGCUCCAGUUAUUGUUCAAACUUCUCCAGCUUGAGCUUUAAGAUGGAUUUGUCAAAUUUGGAGGGAACUGCAUUCACUUUUGGAGGCAGCAGACCUGUCUUUAUCCACAGUUCUCACGGGGAAUGGAUGGGAGCAGUCCCAACCCAUGCUGUCUUCUGAUGGGCUGUGACACCAACUGGUGAGAAGAGGAAAAUACCAUGAAGAAAUUGGGAGAUGUUUUCUUCUCCACUUGGAAGCCUUUGAGGGCCUCAAGCUCUUCCAUUGACUGCUCAGAUACACCUGACUGAGUGACUUAGUUUAAUUUG
rnacentral:lncRNA from 1 species